rnacentral:misc_RNA from 1 species
GUGAAUCAUCGAAUCUUUGAACGCAAAUUGCACUCUCUUCGGAGAGUAUGCCUGUUUGAGGGUCAGCCUAAAAAAAAAAUCGACAUAGUUGCUGUUACGCGGUAACAUUCGUCGGAAAUUGGGUCAUCUUAAACUUUUGGUUUUAAGCGGCUUAAAAUUUUCUUUACGAUUACAAGAAGGUUUCUAAGUUUUUAUUUUUUUAUACGUUUAAGGUAUCGAUAUUUAUUAGACGUGGCUGUUGCUUAGGAUCUCGACCA